rnacentral:sRNA from 1 species
AUUCUUUGCUGUUAACUUGCCUGCUGUGCUUAGGAAUUAAGAGUCCGUAGGAUACCAAAUUUUCAUCAGACUUUUUUGAUGCAUCUGCUUGGGAUGUAUAAAGAAACUGGAGAUGUUAAGAAUGCUGUGUUUGAAUUUAAUUUUUCUAAGUUUUGUGUGUUUUCUCUUAGAAUUUGUGUCUUAAGGUGGUUAAAGAUAGUGAUGGGCUCUUGAUUUAUUGGCAUAAGUUAUAUGAAGAUACUGGUUUAGGCAGAGAUUGUCAAGAGGCUGAAUGCUAUCUGUGCACAAGUCAUUCCUUUCCUGUCCCAAGAGCACCAGCAACAAGUGGUGCAGGCUGUGGAACGGGCCAAGCAGGUGACCAUGGCAGAACUGAACGCCAUCAUUGGGCAGCAACAACUCCAGGCCCAGCAUUUAUCACAUGGACAUGGUCUCCCCGUACCUCUGACUCCACACCCUUCAGGGCUCCAGCCCCCUGCCAUUCCACCGAUCGGUAGCAGUGCCGGGCUUCUGGCCCUCUCCAGUGCUCUAGGAGGUC